GAUGAACGCUAGCGAUAGGCUUAACACAUGCAAGUCGAGGGACCGGCGCACGGGUGCGUAACGCGUAUGCAACUUGCCUCACAGAGGGUGAUAACCCGUCGAAAGACGUACUAAUACCGCGUACUGUGAGAUAGGCAUGCGUCCCAUUAGUUAGUUGGUGAGGGAACGGCUCACCAAGGAGACGAAGGGUAGGGGAACUGAGAGGUUGAACCCCCACACUGGUACUGAGGCCCGGACCAGACUCCUACGCGACGCAGCGGUGAGUUAUAUUGGGCAAUGGGCGAGGGCCUGGACCAGCCGCGUCGCUGGAAGGGUGCCUGUCUAUGGAUUGUAUACUUCUUUUAUACGGGAAUCUGUACCGUAUGAAUAAGCAUCGGCUAACUACGUGCCAGCAGCCGCGGUAAUAC
rnacentral:rRNA from 1 species